rnacentral:rRNA from 1 species
AUGUCGCCUUCGAGUUCGCCGGAGGUCGAAGGACAUCCAUCGAGCCGUCCAAUAUUGCCAACGAUGGCUACAACAGAGGCAUGUAGCCCCUUGAAAGCCAAAUCAAUACCAAGACCGAUGAAAUCAUGGGUAGCCCCUGUUUCUAUCCCUGUUUCUCUGUCUGCCACCCAAGUGCGAAGCUGUUCUUUUAUUCAGUACAUAAGCAUCGACAAUGUUUUUAGCAAAGUUUCAGUUAUGUUCUAUCUACUUUCUUCAGAGUUCAGAAAGUUUGAUCCAAGUUCUGAGAGUUCAUUCAAGUCUGUAGUGCUUCCACUAGAUUCAUAG